UACGUAGGGUGCAAGCGUUAUCCGGAAUUAUUGGGCGUAAAGAGCUCGUAGGCGGUUUGUCGCGUCUGCCGUGAAAGUCCGGGGCUCAACUCCGGAUCUGCGGUGGGUACGGGCAGACUAGAGUGAUGUAGGGGAGACUGGAAUUCCUGGUGUAGCGGUGAAAUGCGCAGAUAUCAGGAGGAACACCGAUGGCGAAGGCAGGUCUCUGGGCUGUAACUGACGCUGAGGAGCGAAAGCAUGGGGAGCGAACAGG
rnacentral:rRNA from 1 species